AUCCAGAAGCCAGGGGAUUCCAAAGCUGCAAGCCUUUCCAGCAAACUGAAACAGGUUGGUCACCCUACAAGGACCUAGCUAGAGUGGUUAUUUAUUCCACUACAGAGAGCUGCCACUCCACCAGGAUACCAAGAACUUUUAUGUGCCAGUCACAGAUACACAGCUAGCUGAGAUGAUAGUUCCUGAAUACUCUGUUUUCAAAGGGUCAAGUAACCUUUGUGCUCCCUGGCAUGAAGGUCAGCUCACAGUUGCCCACUCUAUGGUCUAUUUGCAUGGCUUGCAGUGGGGAUGGUGGGCUUCAGUCUUGGGAGAGUUGGCAGGGCAGCUUCCAUCAGCCACUCCCAGCCAUCUGUACAACUUGUAAGAUGAGCGAACAUGAGUCAUCUCUGCUGCAGCAGCGCAAAGCACCCAUGGGGAGUUUAACCUCCGCCUAUUUCUAGAGAGGCAUUUAACGAAGACUGACCUAAUUCAAGCAAAAAUAGGUCUCGAUUAGUGUGUGACUAAUCUGCUGAUUUUUCUAGUUACGAAAGAACCUUUCACCAUGUUUGGCAACUAGCGUGAGGUGCUUGGUUAUGGCAAAGUUGCACUUUGGUUGUGUUAAUACUUCUCCUUAUUCUUCUUCCUUUCCCUCCCUCUCCUACUCACUUUUCUCUCUCCCUGUCUCAAGGAAAUUUAGGGGCUAGGAACCAAUCGUGGUGCCUGAAAACCCUCUCUUAUCGCUGGAUCUGGCAGAGUAGCUCUCAUUUUGCAUUAAAUAAAUAAGGAAAUUAGAAGUGAAGAAUAAAUAAAUGAAGGCUUGUCUCUGAGACAAGAGUAGAGGCAUUGUUUAAAAAUAGGUGUGUAAUAACCUAUUUGGACUGAUGUGAUCACAGCAUCUCUUAUGUGAGGGAUGAGGGCUUUCCCUCUUAACAGGAGACAGCACUUGUAUGCUUGGAGUGAUACACUUUGAAGAUGGAGGAAGGGUUCACAAGCCAAGGGAUACAGGUGGCCACUAGAAGCUGAAAAAGGCAAGGCAAGGAAUUCCAGAAAGAACUGGCCCUCCUACACCUUGGCUUUAGUCUAGUGAAACUGAUUUUGGACUUCUGAACUCCAGAACUAUAAGAGGAUAAAUGUGUAUGGUUUCAAGCCACAAGUUUGUAUAAUUUGUUGCAGUAGCCAAAGGAAAUAUACACCAUUUUAACUAACUUGCUUGCUCAUUCUUUGGAAAUUACAGAUUCCUAUGUGUGCCCCACCAACCAGUCAUCAGAUCCUGCCCAGUCCUCUCCUAAACAGACUUCUCCGUCCUGUCCGCGUCUCUCCAUCUCUGCUGUCCUCAUCUUUGCCCAGGCUCCCCUCACCUGCUCUCCUAAAUGAAUCUCUCCCCUUUGAACUCCAUUUUCCUCACUUCUCCCCUAAUGUUUCUGUUUUGUUUUUUUGCAAAUCAGACCAGGUUAUUCCUCUGCUUCAGACCACCUCAGUGGCUGCCCACUGAUGUCAGUAUAAGGGGAUAAAGAGUCACAGGUCAGAAGGUUUGUUACCACGGUUCCCAGAGGCUCCUGGGAAACAGCUCCUCUUGGGUUCUUCUGAGCGCUUAACAGAGGGGUUUACCUGGGCGGUGCUGGGCUGGGCUGUGUUAGGCUGGGGAGAGGGGUGGAGUCAAAGGUGAUAAGUGGGAGCUGUUGUCCAGGCUGCGGGGUCACCCUGUAUGAGCCGUUGUCAUAACGGUGUGAUCUCAACAUUAAUGGGAUGCAUGAGCAGAGGCAUUCCCUGGCGCUUUUUCAGAUUCACCUACACUGAGAAUGGCUUCAGUGUCAUGUUUGGGAGUGGAACCUAGAGGAGAUGGUUAAGCCUCCACAGGGUCUGAUGUGACCCUCACUCACUCAUAUUGUCUAUCACCUUUAGCUGUGAAUUCUCAGUGUGAAAUUUGGUGGCCAGAAAAUUGUAUCUCUGUCUUGGAGAAUGUUGUUAUUUCUCUCUGGUGUACACCAACUAUCCUUUGUUCUUUAUCCUUUAGAUAGAACACCUGGUCUGACUUACCCAUGUCUGUGUCUAGUUGUCCCAUAAUUUAAUACUUGCCAUUGCCAUUGGCUAACACGGUGGUUGGGUGAAGGCUGAGCUCUGAACACAACUUCUGUGCUCUCCCUUAAGGCUCCAGCCUUAUCCCGUCACAAUCCCUCUCAAACCCUGCCCUUGAACCACUGCAAACUAUUUUCUCCCACAACUCCACCUGGCAGUCUCUUCCCCAUCCUUAUGGCCCAUCUAACCCCUGUCAUCCUUCUGGCCUCAAUUCAAAUACCAGCUCUUCCCAGAGGCUGUUUCUGACUCCCAAACCCCUCCUCAGGGCUUCUGUAGUGUUCCCCACCCUAUAAGAAUCACACUGUGUGGCAACGGUUUAUUUGUUGUCUGGAACUCCGUUAGAUGGUGGAUAGUCGAAGCCACUGCUUUACCUGGCUUGUUUAUUAUCAAAACCCUAGUGCUUGGCACCAUGGCACAUGAUUAACAAAUACGUCUGACAAAUGGGUGAAUAGAUUCAUAAUAAUAGCAAUCAUGUUUUACGGAAUGUUUGCCAUGUGAUAGGCACCAUGCCAAGUAGUAUGUGUGUGUAUACUGUUGACCAUUGAACCACAUAGGCUUGAACUUGUAUGCAGGCUUUUUUCAAUAAAUACAGUACCCGUAUUUUCAUUUUAUGGACUCUUAUUUAUUUAUUUGGUCUUUUUUAGGGCGGCACCUGUGUCAUGUGGAAAUUCCCAGGCUAGGGGUCAAAUCAGAGCUAUAGCCACUGGCCUAUACCAUAGCCACAGCAACGUGGGAUCUGAGCAGCAUCUGUGACCCACACCACAGCUCAUGGCAACGCUGGAUCCUUUAACCCCCUGAGAGAGGCAAAGGAUUGACCUGCAUCCUCAUGGAUCCUAGUGGGGUUCAUUACCACUGAGCCAUGAUGGGAACUCCAGUUUUUUUUAGAUUUCUAAAUUAAAAUAACGUUUGUGUUGAUUCAGAAAUCACAAUAUGUAGAAUCAAAAGAACUAAGGUUUGACUCCUGAUUCUAUCCAUAUUGUUUCAGCUUCCUGUCCUUGGUUGAGUCAUUUGUCAGUUCCUAUAUUUUUGAGACAGAGAGAGCAGUAGGCGGAUUUUGGAGGUUUAGGUGAUUGGUGUCCCUAAACCUGCAUUGCUCAAAGGUCAACUGUAAUAUCUAAUCCUAAGUACAACUAUACUAGGUUUGUCUUGUUAUUCUAAUUCUAUAGUUGGGAAAACCAAGGAUUAGCGGCUAAGUAACAUAGCCACAAUCACGAUUCAAUGUGUAACUGGAACUUGGCCCAGAUCUACCUGUUUACUGAGCUGUGUUUCUAUAAGGCACCUUUCCUCUCAGACCCCGCCCAGCCAUUCACAGUGUACUUCAUCCAAGUCAAGCCAUUAGAUCUAGAGGCCAAGGAAAGCAGCGUUUCCUGUGGCCUGGGAACUGGGCCUGGAUUCUGCCCUUUAUUUCCAGGACUCAGUAGUUUGAUGUCUCAGCUCUUCCUCUGAAUUCCUUUGAUGCAAGAGCUCUGUUUCACGCCUGAUCUUUCCCUAAAACCUCCUGGGACUGUUGCAGGGGUUGUAAAUGGGGAUGGUGCUGGGGGAUGUGAAGACUCGGAUUUUUUUGUGUGCUUAUUUCAAAGGAGAGAGUCCCUUGCUUCCAUUAGAUUUCCAAAGGAAUUUUCUGGAUGUGUGAGCAAAAGGGCUCCCUGGGUAUUUUUCAGCCUGUUUUCUUCCCUUCUGUUUUGAAACUUGUGUUAGGGUUGCUGGAGCCACUUCAAGAGCCUACAGUGGUUGUUUAGAUUCACAGGAGAUCUCCUUGAUCUCUGGAAAACCCAUGUUUGAGUUUUUCUAAAUCUUACAUCCCUCACAUCUGAACAAGAUUGGGCCAGAACUGACAUCUAGGCUCCUGCCUGCUCUAACAGUCUGGUUCUGUGAUUCCUGUGUGUAUAGAAUCAUUUAAAUAUCAGCAGACAGGGGCAGCAGUUAUUUUUGCAUACCCAUGUGGUCUUGCAUGCAGAAGCAGAGGCCAGAGAUUUGGAAGCAAUGCCCCGAGGCCUGGGUGUCCCCUUCCUAGAUGGACUGACAGUCGUUGAUUCACACUGCUCUGUCCUGUUGGUACCCUAACAAUUCUGCAAAGCAUUGUACAGUCUAGUUAUGUCUAGUCAUGCCUGGUGAACAAAGCGUUUUUAUUGACCACCUAACAGUGUUUUUUUAAAAGGAUUAAUCUGACUCUUCUUUCUUUGAAUGGAGUGACAAUCAAGCCAUUGAUGCUGAAUUUAUGUUUCUCUUACAUGUGCCUUUGAUUUGUGAGUUGCUUCCUAUGUCACACUGCCUUGGAUAUGGCUGUGUUUCUAUAUUUACUGUGUUUUAAUGUUUCCAUGAACUUUAUUGCUACUUUUACAAUUACUAUCUCCACUAGCAUUUCUUCCAUCCUGUUAUUAAACGAAUAUGGAAAUUAGAAGUGAAGAAUAAGCAACUUAGGAUUUGUUUCUUUGGAGGCAUUAUAUAGAAAUAGUUAGAGAACAAUGAUUUGCCUGUUUUUAUUUAUUUAUUUAUUUAUUUUUAUCUUUUUGCCUUUUCUAGGGCCACAUCUGUGGCACAUGGAGGUUCCCAGGCUAGGGGUCUAAUCAGAGCUGUAGUCGCCGGCCUCCACCAGAGACACAGCAGUGCAGGAUCCAAGAUGCGUCUGCGACCUACACCACAGCUCACGGCAAUGCCAGAUCCUUAACCCACUGAGCAGGGCCAGGGAUCCAACCUGAAACCUCAUGGUUCCUAGUCGGAUUCACUAACCACUGAGCCACGACAGGAACCCCUGAUUUGCCUGUUUUUAAAGUUAAUUUCUUCCCUUUUCAUUAGAUUCUGUCUGAGGAUCAGAUUGUCCUCUGUUUCACUAAUGGAAGAGGAGCACAUCUUUGUGGUUAGAACAUGUCUCUAAAGAGUUCAGUUCCUUGGGUUUAGGGGGGUUGGAGAACUCCUACAUGAUGAUAAGGAUGGUGUUCCCAGACUUUUAUCGAAUGACUGUUAGGGGGCAGACACUGACUAUUCUCUUUACAUGCAGUAAUCUGUCCUCUCCAUACAACCACCCUAUGAGGUUGUUGCUACUAUUGUUCCCAUUUUAAAAAUGAAGAAAGUAUGUUUUAGGCUAAGAGGCUUGCUCAAGGGCACACAGUGAAGGAUUGGUGCACCGAUUUGACCUUUGUUGGGUCUGACUCCAGCACUUGCAUUUACAGCCUCUCUUUUCUUCUUUCUCUGUGCUGCCUCUUAUGCUUGGGGUGUUCCAGAGUCAGCUACAUCUGUGACUAGUCCCAGCAUUUUGCGUUGAAGGAACAGACACCUUUAGUUUGGGAGUUUGCACAGCUUAUUAACAAAGGAACGUGGUAUGCAAGUAAAGACAAGUUUGUAAUAUCCUAGAGGCAAACUUUAGGUUAAAGGCCAUGUGUUGGGGUAACCAACAGAUGCUCAGAAGCAUAAUACAGAAACACCAGAAAAAAAAAUAGCAUCUAUUUUUCUUUACAUGGGUUUCCCAGUGCCAUUACCCUGUGAAAUACCAUGGACCUAAGGUCUAUAUUAGGAGAAAACAUAGAAAAAAAAAUCACCAAUCCAUGUAAAAAUUCCUUGCAGACCAGCCUUUGCCUUAACAAACCAAUUAGUCAUCCUAUUAAAAAUAUGAAGAUAAGGAAAACCAUUGCUCACAUUCUAUCUUUCCUGAUCCUGUGGUGAUGGAAGCCAUGGCAAAGAAACAGCGACUGGAAAAUGAUAAAAACCUGAGAGUUGAACAAGAUUUUGCAAGUUUUCAAUCCAGCCUCCAAGGACCUAGACCAUUUUCUUAUAAUUAAGACCAUCUAAAAUAUGGUGCAGUCAUUCUUGCUUCAUAAAACAGUAUUUCUUAGGGCUUGAGAAGCUCUCUUUGAUGGAACUGCAGAAAUGGGAGACUUAUCCUAGGAUUCUGUUUUUUAUUUAAUUGAUAAUAUAAGUAUUCAGCUUAAGAUAAUAAGCCUAACACUAGGAUGAGAAGAUGUUGCUGCUGCCCCAGGGAGAAUGAGACAGAAAGUUGUUCUCCAAAUGGAGAACUUAAGGGAUCACUAGACCCAGGGACUGAUUCUUUUUAUUAAGGAAGCUUCGAUGGUUAAAUGAGAAGUGACAUGGGCACAAGGAAAGAAUGGACAAGUCUUUCCCGGAAGCCUUGGGGAGUCUGCUCCAUGCUGAACUUGGCAGCUAAGCUGGUGUCCCAUUAUCUUUCCCUUCUUUGGGGAGGGAGGCUGGUAAUAGUUCUUCUAGUCCUGGAGCCGCAUUUGUGGAGUUCCUGUCGUGGCUCAGGAAACAAAUCUGACAUCCAUGAGGACGCAGGUUUGAUCUCUAGCCUUGCUUGGUCAGUUAAGGAUCCAGUGUUGUGAUCCAUUGGUCAAAGACAUGGCUCGGAUCUGAUGUUGCUGUGCCUCUGGUGUAGGCCAGUGGCUUCAGCUCUGAUUUGACCCCUAGACUGGGAACCCCCAUGUGCCA
rnacentral:lncRNA from 1 species